CAAAGUACCAAGAGGGAACGAUCCGGGUCUUCCGUAGCUGGAGCUUGGCGCAGGCCGCACCCCCACCCCCGCGAAUGUGCGCAGGCGCGGACCCUGAGAGCCCAGGUUCGGGGCCCGGCUGCGGCUUGGCGGCACCCGGCGCGGUUUCCUGGCUUGCCUUGUGGGAGGGGUCGGCCGUCUCCCCGGGUCACCAGAACCUGCUCCAGUAGCAACGCCUGAGCGGGUCAGCGCUGCGGAACUCACGCCUGGCGCGCGCGGGAGGGGCCUCGCAGCCCAGGGAGAGGAGCAACGGGCCGCAGUGGCGGGGCUGGGGUGCCGAGAGGCAGAGUGCGGGCGGUUGUUGCCGCAACACGUAAUAGAUAACCAAGACAAACAUGAUGAAAUGGUAAAAAUGAAUGGUAAUUGUUGAAGAAAAACAGUGCUUACUGGGACAUGGAGACUGAUAUGACCACAGGCAGAAAAUUUAUUGGGAAGCUCUUCCAAUGGAGGGGAUCUGAAGAACAGACUUCAGCCGGCUCAUGGAAGGUGCUGGUGUGAGUAUAUACAGUACAUCAGUGGGCGAGGAAAUGUUAGUUCAUGGGGAGGGGGUGAGGGUCCAGAGUACAGCCUUGGGUCAAUAAAGGGCUGUAAAAGUGAAUUCUUCUAGUGUAUGGCUU
rnacentral:lncRNA from 1 species